rnacentral:lncRNA from 1 species
GGUAAACCCAAAAAUAUACCUAAUACUUUCUUUACAGAACGCUUGCAAAGAAAAGAGCGCAAUCUUAGUUGAUAUAACAUCGAAAGGCGAGGAUGAUUUUCUAAGACACACUGUACAACAUCUUCAUGCACACGAAGACCCAGAUGCCAUUGGUUACUGGAUAAGCGGUAACGACCUUGCAGUUGAAGGUCAUUGGGUGUAGGGCUAUCCAAAUGACAUUCCCAUGGCGUAUGCGGACUGGAGACAUGGAGAACCAAACAACCGUGACGCCAAUAAAAUGCCUGAAGACUGUGCCAUUUUGUGGGGACGCUACAACUACACGUGGAAUGACAUAACUUGCUACUCUGAGGAAUAUUACAUCUGCAAACAGGA